AUUGGCUGAAAUUUUACAGAGAUGAUCUACACAAUAUUAUCUAGAUACUGGACGAUGGAAAUGAGGAAAUUCGAUCGAAAAGUGGUGUAAAAAUGAAAUCUGCACCAAAAACCAUUGGUGCGGACGUCCGCAGCUGAGACGGAUUGUGUGUGUUUGUGUGUGUAUAUAUAUAUAUAUAUAUAGAGUGAGGAUUUAAAGAGGACCUCCUUAAUUUAAGAAUUUGAGGAUUUCUACUAUUUUACAUUAGUAAAUGACUUGAUUUAACGAUCUUAACCGUUGAUCCUCUAGAUUCAUAUGCAAGAUUAAACCUACAAAAUUUCAACUAAUUCCAUAAUCAUAUGGUCAUUCAAAUUGACGUAAACAAUUGUAGACAGUUAGAUAAAAUUAAAACGAAUAUUAUGUUAAUUAAAUGGUUAAACGUUUUUCAUUUUGGCUAAUUUUUUGUAGGAUUCAUAUGUGGGUAAGUAACUAGGUGUAGUCGGUAGUUGAUAAACUACCUUCUCCGCCCAUAGACUAGUCAUAAAACUUGUAGACCAAUAUUCAGGCUACUUCGCCAUGGUGAAAUAUCAUUCGUGCCACAUCGGGGAUGUGCUUCUCCAUGCUCCACAAGAAGACCCAAUGAUAAGAUAUAUGUGUAGUAGUUAGUCCCACAUUGGAAAGUAGUAAAAGGAGGGAACCUUCCUUAGUUAUAAAAGGAAGGGUUCCCUUAUGUAGAAGCUCUCUCUCUCGAGCUAGCUGGCUGAUCUAAUAAGAAGGGACUGAAACUCUCUCUCCCGAUCCCAAAGGCCUCUUGGCCAUGAUAGUUGAUUGUAAAGUGGACGUAGCCAUGCCCUCCGAUGGCAUGGUGAACCACUAUAUGCCCUUGUCUCUUGUCCAUGAUUGUCUAUUGUUCGUGUUCCACCGUGAUUCUACAUAGUCCCCGGGAUUAUGCAGAAACACUAGGGAAUGUGUGGUUUUGAUUGUCAAAAUACAUGCUAGAACUAAAAACAUCCUCACUUUAAGAGUUUAAGGAGGUCCUAUCUAGAUCCGGACUAUAUAUAUAUAUAUAUAUA
rnacentral:lncRNA from 1 species